GACGAACGCUGGCGGCGUGCUUAACACAUGCAAGUCGAACGGAAAGGCCCUGCUUUUGUGGGGUGCUCGAGUGGCGAACGGGUGAGUAACACGUGAGUAACCUGCCCUUGACUUUGGGAUAACUUCAGGAAACUGGGGCUAAUACCGGAUAGGAGCUCCUGCUGCAUGGUGGGGGUUGGAAAGUUUCGGCGGUUGGGGAUGGACUCGCGGCUUAUCAGCUUGUUGGUGGGGUAGUGGCUUACCAAGGCUUUGACGGGUAGCCGGCCUGAGAGGGUGACCGGCCACAUUGGGACUGAGAUACGGCCCAGACUCCUACGAGAGGCAGCAGUGGGGAAUAUUGCACGAUGGGCGGAAGCCUGAUGCAGCAACGCCGCGUGCGGGAUGACGGCCUUCGGGUUGUAAACCGCUUUCGCCUGUGACGAAGCGUGAGUGACGGUAAUGGGUAAAGAAGCACCGGCUAACUACGUG
rnacentral:rRNA from 1 species